ACGGAUUCUGUCAAAUGUCGCCGUCUGGCGGACAUCAAUGCUUCCUACAUGCAGAAACCGCUAGACCCUGACGUCAUCACGCUGCGCUUCAGCACACGCUCCAAAUGACAUAUUGUUUACGUGGAGUUCUCUGCUCCGUUGUCCCAUCAAACGUGUGUUUUUUCGCCACCAAUUCCACAUGGAUCGCUUUGAAAAUGAGCAGGACAAAGACACGUCUUAUUUCCUCUGUCCCCGAGGACAUGGAUUCGUCGCAAUUGACGUAAGUUCGCUGCCAGCUUACGGCUAACGGCUAGCUUUCAGGCUCUCGCUCGGAGCCACUUAUCCCCAAAUUCGCCCCCAAAUCCCGCUCACUUUAGACUCUUUCCUCCUCGCUCAUUAAAUUAUGCGUGACAGGAAAACGUUUCGCUGCUUUUGCUAAAGAUCAAAGCCUUGUAGUGAAUUCGGUCCGUGUUUGGCGACUCCUAAUCUUAAACGAUCCCUCAUUUUAGCGUUGUGAAUAGAAACUCGGUGUGCUCGUUCUCCAGGAUGACUGCUCACUCAACGCCUUUAAAGAGAAGAAAUGUAGAUCGAGGAUUCGGCCUGGAGCUGAUCCAAAUCAGCGGAGACAACAAGAAGAGCUGCAGACAACAAUGCACGUUACCUGUUUCUUUCAUAGGUGUCUUUACUUCCCUCUCUCUCCUACCUAAUACAUGAAUCUAACGGAUUCUGUCAAAUGUCGCCGUCUGGCGGACAUCAAUGCUUACUACAUGCAGAAACCGCUAGACCCUGACGUCAUCACGCUGCGCUUCAGCACACGCUCCAAAUGACAUAUUGUUUACGUGGAGUUCUCUGCUCCGUUGUCCCAUCAAACGUGUGUUUUUUCGCCACCAAUUCCACAUGGAUCGCUUUGAAAAUGAGCAGGACAAAGACACGUCUUAUUUCCUCUGUCCCCGAGGACAUGGAUUCGUCGCAAUUGACGAUGACUGCUCACUCAACGCCUUUAAAGAGAAGAAAUGCAGAUCGAGGAUUCGGCCUGGAGCUGAUCCAAAUCAGCGGAGACAACAAGAAGAGCUGCAGACAACAAUGCACGUUACCUGUUUCUUUCAUAGGUGCACAAAACGUUACUUUCACUGAUUUUGUGCCAUUGUAAAUCGUUUUCAUCUUUCUUGCCCAUUUUGUUUUAUUGUGUGGGAGGGUUUUUUUCUACUUUGUAUGUUUUCAUGAAUAAAUUUACCGAAACGCAGUCAAAUAUACGGAUUUUUCUCUUCUAGCUAGCUGUACCGAACUUGGACUGAUUAAACUGUAUUUUUGCCACCUCUAACUCUGACUCUGCUCCUGUGUCCACUACACUACCACCUCCUGACAGUUUGGGUUUAUUUUUACGGAUAUACCGACUCUGGCACUGCUUUACAGGAUGGACAGGUUAGGGUAUAAACUAAGCUUUAAGAAAAAGAAUUACAAUUAUAAAACGAAGAUUAUAUAAUAUGCCCAACAGAACAUGAACAGACAGAGAGAGGGAGAAAAAGUGAACACUGAAGAGUUGAUUUAGAUGCAGAGCGACAUGGCAUCAGAGUUAUAACUUGUGUUUCCUGUUUUAUUUUGGUAAUGUUUGAGUUUCCGGUUGUUCACUGCUUUGUCCUCUCAUUCCAGGUGUCUUUACUUCCCUCUCUCUCCUACCUAAUACAUGAAUCAAACGGAUUCUGUCAAAUGUCGCCGUCUGGCGGACAUCAAUGCUUCCUACAUGCAGAAACCGCUAGACCCUGACGUCAUCACGCUGCGCUUCAGCACACGCUCCAAAUGACAUAUUGUUUACGUUGAGUUCUCUGCUCCGUUGUCCCAUCAAACGUGUGUUUUUUCGCCACCAAUUCCACAUGGAUCGCUUUGAAAAUGAGCAGGACAAAGACACGUCUUAUUUCCUCUGUCCCCGAGGACAUGGAUUCGUCGCAAUUGACGUAAGUUCGCUGCCAGCUUACGGCUAACGGCUAGCUUUCAGGCUCUCGCUCGGAGCCACUUAUCCCCAAAUUCGCCCCCAAAUCCCGCUCACUUUAGACUCUUUCCUCUUCGCUCAUUAAAUUAUGCGUGACAGGAAAACGUUUCGCUGCUUUUGCUAAAGAUCAAAGCCUUGUAGUGAAUUCGGUCCGUGUUUGGCGACUCCUAAUCUUAAACGAUCCCUCAUUUUAGCGUUGUGAAUAGAAACUCGGUGUGCUCGUUCUCCAGGAUGACUGCUCACUCAACGCCUUUAAAGAGAAGAAAUGUAGAUCGAGGAUUCGGCCUGGAGCUGAUCCAAACCAGCGGAGACAACAAGAAGAGCUGCAGACAGCAAUGCACGUUACCUGUUUCUUUCAUAGGUGUCUUUACUUCCCUCUCUCUCCUACCUAAUACAUGAAUCUAACGGAUUCUGUCAAAUGUCGCCGUCUGGCGGACAUCAAUGCUUACUACAUGCAGAAACCGCUAGACCCUGACGUCAUCACGCUGCGCUUCAGCACACGCUCCAAAUGACAUAUUGUUUACGUUGAUUUCUCUGCUCCGUUGUCCCAUCAAACGUGUGUUUUUUCGCCACCAAUUCCACAUGGAUCGCUUUGAAAAUGAGCAGGACAAAGACACGUCUUAUUUCCUCUGUCCCCGAGGACAUGGAUUCGUCGCAAUUGACGUAAGUUCGCUGCCAGCUUACGGCUAACGGCUAGCUUUCAGGCUCUCGCUCGGAGCCACUUAUCCCCAAAUUCGUCCCCAAAUCCCGCUCACUUUAGACUCUUUCCUCCUCGCUCAUUAAAUUAUGCGUGACAGGAAAACGUUUCGCUGCUUUUGCUAAAGAUCAAAGCCUUGUAGUGAAUUCGGUCCGUGUUUGGCGACUCCUAAUCUUAAACGAUCCCUCAUUUUAGCGUUGUGAAUAGAAACUCGGUGUGCUCGUUCUCCAGGAUGACUGCUCACUCAACGCCUUUAAAGAGAAGAAAUGUAGAUCGAGGAUUCGGCCUGGAGCUGAUCCAAAUCAGCGGAGACAACAAGAAGAGCUGCAGACAGCAAUGCACGUUACCUGUUUCUUUCAUAGGUGUCUUUACUUCCCUCUCUCUCCUACCUAAUACAUGAAUCUAACGGAUUCUGUCAAAUGUCGCCGUCUGGCGGACAUCAAUGCUUACUACAUGCAGAAACCGCUAGACCCUGACGUCAUCACGCUGCGCUUCAGCACACACUCCAAAUGACAUAUUGUUUACGUGGAGUUCUCUGCUCCGUUGUCCCAUCAAACGUGUGUUUUUUCGCCACCAAUUCCACAUGGAUCGCUUUGAAAAUGAGCAGGACAAAGACACGUCUUAUUUCCUCUGUCCCCGAGGACAUGGAUUCGUCGCAAUUGACGUAAGUUCGCUGCCAGCUUACGGCUAACGGCUAGCUUUCAGGCUCUCGCUCGGAGCCACUUAUCCCCAAAUUCGUCCCCAAAUCCCGCUCACUUUAACCUCUUUCCUCCUCGCUCAUUAAAUUAUGCGUGACAGGAAAACGUUUCGCUGCUUUUGCUAAAGAUCAAAGCCUUGUAGUGAAUUCGGUCCGUGUUUGGCGACUCCGACUAACGGCUAACUUUCAGCUAAAAUAUAUGUGUAAAAAGUUAGUUAUUUUGUAUUUGUGAUACUUUAAAUAAAUCUUUUCGUGUUUAAGAAGAAUGUUAAUGAAGAAUGUUAAGAUGCAGUGAAUGAAUGAAUGAAUGAAUGACUGGUUCAUUUAUAAAGUGUUUAAACUUGGAAAAAAAAACAGGAACUUGUGUGACACCUGACGCCAGGUGCUGACAAACAGUUACUUCCGUUUGUGGUUGUGUGCAGAGGCAGUCCCCGCAGGCCCUACCACUUAUUCAAUUAGUCCCGUCCAAUCAGAGUCCAGUUUGAUUCGCGCCAAAAAUCAGUAGAAAAUCAGUUGCACCUGCUGCCCAUUCUCGAGGAGAAGGCUCAGCCAAUAGCAGGGCAGAACUGUAGCUCAGGUGCGGCUUAUAAGGCGCCGAGGUGACACUGGUUCGGUUCGUUCCAGCAACGCAGGACACACCUGUGAUGUUUGAGAUGUCCGCGAGACGGUUCAGGCCUAGUCGGCUAGAGACAGGCGGCGCACGUGUUUGGAGCAAUCCAGAGAGAAAAUGGCCGGUGUGGGAGCCAGGUCAGACGGAGGGUUCCCGAGCAGCCGAUACAAUGUGGGAGAAAGCACCGCACCUGGCGUCGCUUAUCUUUUCCACGUGUGUGCGUGCGUGCGUGCGUGCAGGCGUUUGUAUCUCUGUGUUGGUAGUGCAGGUUAGUGUCUUUUGCUUGGUUUAGAAGUUUUGUAACGGGUGUAGCUGCUUUAGAGUUUGGCUCUGGCCAGGUGUUGGCGAGGCUUAGUUGUUGAUUGGUUAGUGUGGAAGUCUCGCGGGUCUGCGUGGGUUUAGAGCGUGCGUUAGCCGUUGUCGGGUUGUUGUAUCAGCGUUGUCGGUUUGUGGAAGCCUGUAGUCAGAUAGUGUUGGCAACAUGGGUUGAAGUGUGAAGUGUUGUUGGUCUGAGUUGUGAGUAGUUGUCAGUGUAGGUUUUCUGUGUGUCAGAUGUCUUUGGUUUCUGGUGUAGAAGUUGUCCAUAGUGGUGUGUUGUUGAUGGAGGUGUGUGGUUAGCUGUUCAGGUGUGGUACAUUGGCCUGUAGGUGUAUGUGUGUGUGUCUGUGUGAGUUUUGGAAGUACAGGCUUGUGUUUUCAGCUCAGUUCAGAGGCUUUGUGUAUCCAGGUGGUUUGGAGUUUGGCUCUGAGUGUUCAGGGUUAGUUGUGAUGGAUUCAGUGUGUGAACAGCAUCAGGCUCAGUGUAGGUUCAGAUUGUUAGUUUGUGUUGUCGGUGGGUGAAAGCAUAUUAUACAGUUGUGAUCCAGACACAACUGUGUUUAUGUGGAAGCCUGUAGUCAGAUAGUGUUUGCAGCAUGGGCUGAAGUGUGAAGUGUUGUUGGGCUUAGUUGUGUAUGUGGUUGUGGCCAGGCUUAGCUGUGAGUGUGAGUUCUCUCUACAGGAAGGAUGAGCUGAUCCAGAGGGCCAUCAGAAGCAGGGUGAGAGAAAGCUUUUAACUUUACUCAGUGUUUCUAUGUUGUCUUUGUUUUUUGUGUUUUGUGUUUUGUGUUUUGUGUUUUGUUUUCUUUGUGUGUUCCACAGGUGGCUGCAUCUGACUGAGUGGGGCUCGAACUUUGAGGCUGUGGGCAACGUGGAGGUCUGGUGAGACUCCUGCUGCAGCUGGAAGGUAAAGUAAAACAUCAAAGGGUCAAGCUUUGACCUGAUUAGUGUCUGAAACCAGUGUGUUUUCAGCAGGAUGGAGGAGCUGGGUGAGAAGACUGCUGAAGACCAAUUGAGACCAGGUGAGCAAGAGCAACAAUGUGCUGUUUCUGCAUUUAUGCAUGCACUAAUGUUAGUGUGUUUGUGUGUGUGAGUGAGUGAGCGAGCUUUGUAGGUGUCUGCUGGGUGGAGCCAGGGACCAUCCUGCUGGUGAGGAUAGAGUGCCAUCCUCUGGGAGUAAGGGACACAUCCAGGCUGUGUUGUCUGAGCUCUGUUUGUGGAUGGCAGACCUUAUUUGGAGGCCAUGACAGACCAGGUGAGAGGAGGCCAUGACAGACCAGGUGAGAGGAGGCCAUGACAGACCAGGUGAGAGGAGGCCUUUUGAUUAAUGUUAAGUGUCUUUACACAUAUGCGUUAAUGUGUCUGUUUCUAGGUGUAUGUGGCUGAGUGGGGCUCCAUGUGCAGCCAUGUUAUAGUUUUUCUACACAUACAUUCCUUAAUUUGUGUUUUUGUGUGUGUGUCUGUGUGAGUGUUGGCUCUGAGUUUGGCUCUCUGAGUGUUCAGGGUUAGUUGUGAUGGAUUCAGUGUGUGAACAGCAUCAGGCUCAGUUGUGAUGGAUUCAGUGUGUGAACAGCAUCAGGCUCAGUGUAGGUUCAGAUUGUUAGUUUGUAGUUAUUCUUGUUGAUGGGUGAAAGCAUAUUCUACAGUUGUGAUCCGGACACAACUGUGUCUAUGUGGAAGCCUGUAGUCAGAUAGUGUUUUCAGCAUGUGUUGAAGUGUUGUUGGUCUUAGUUGUGGAUGUCAAAUGGGUCAGUGUAGGUUUACUAUGUCAGAUGUUGUUGGUUUCUGCUGUAGAAGCUGUCUAUAGUUGGGUAUUGUUGAUGGAGGUGUGUGGUUAGCUGUUCAGGUGUUGUGCAUCAGCCUGAAGGUGUGAGAGUGUUGGAAGUGCAGGUUUGUGUUUUCAGCUCAGUUUAGAGCCUUUGUUCUGUUUCCAGGUGUUUCGGAGUUUAGUUUUCUUUAAGUGUUGUCAAGGUUUAGUGUGUUAGAGAUGUCUUCAUGUAGAAGCCUCAGUAGUUUUGCUGAUGGAGGGGUGUGGUUAUCUGUUUAGGUGCUGUGCUUGGGCCUGUGUGUGUGGUUGGCAGGUUCUGGCUGAAUGGAGCUCCAACUGUGGUUCCAGGCUGCAGGCUGGCAUGAAAGGUCAUUGAGGUCAAAGUGGAGCUAAGAUGGAGGACCAGAUCCAGACAAGCUGAUCCAGAGGACCACAUCUAGAAGAGCUGAUCCAGAGGACCAUCAGGGACAAAAAUACUUCCUGUCUGAGGCAGUUGGUGUGUGUUCGGGCCAUGAAGAGGAAGAAUUGUGUAAAGCUUUGUCUCCUGCUGGACUGUUUGUAAAUAAAAAUUUGAUUUGUACCCCA